UUAGUUGUAUAUGACAGUUGCUGAGUUUACAUUAACAUUUGUGAUUCUAAUGAUAAAUUUAUUCAUAUUGUUAAUACUUAUACUGUAUAGGGCACCUGGGUGGCUCAGUCGUUAAGUAUCUGACUUCAGUUCAAGUCAUGACCUCAUGCUGGGUUUGAGUCCCACUUCGGGUGAGCUCGAGCCCCACUUCCGAUCAGACAAAGAGGCAACACAGAGAAUUUAAGUGAAUUGUCCAGCAUCACAGAGCAGAGCCAAGGGAUGCCAGAUUCUCAAAUAAGAAGAUGGCAGUCAGUCUCACAUCAUCCUGCUCCUGUGACGACAGAUGCAUGUCAUGGACUGAGAAACAUUAUGUUGACCACAAAACUCAUAGGUGAUUAUUGGAGGCUCAGAUCCAAGAGAAUUAUCAUCACUGGACCAACAACAGCCUGGGGAACCUAACAAACAGAAGAUACAUCAUUGGAAGAUACAGCAUUGAGUGAGAGCCAAGAAAGCAGUUUUGAGGACAAGAUGAGAAUUAAAAAGUAAUGUUGAUAACAUUGGAGAAGGUAGCUGGAAACAAGCAGAAAGCUGCUGUCAAAGGAAACUAAAAAAUACAAAACUGGAGAAUUAUUGACUGUGGGUAUAUAUUACAGACUAAAAUCCAGAGGUCUAUACAGUUAACGGAUUGUCAAAGAGUCAGGAGGAAAGGGCAAGAGUUAAAAAAAAAAAAAUUGGAGUGGAUAAAUAAAAAAAUCAGACCUGAGAGGUAAUUUUUCUUCAGGUUGUAUUCAAUACUCUGCAGGCCACAUCUAGAGAUACAACAUAGUCACUGGCUUGUAAAAUAUUUAAGGAGCUGAAAAAUUAGGUUUAUUAUGAAUAAUGAAGGAAAUGAAGACUUUUCAGUCUGGAGACUAGAAGGUAGAAAGGUAAUUUAAUCAAGCCUUAAUGUUUAAGAGGAGGAAACCAGCAGUUUUCCAUCUCCUCUGACAACAAACAUGAGGAAACAGUUUUCGAUUAUAAAAAACAGAUAUAAGUUGGAGGUGAAAGAGAUUUUACACUGAUGACGGUGAAUAAGCCAAAAAUAAUAAUAAAAUCUAGUUUUCUGGAAGGUAUAAAGGAAAAUGACUUUCCUCUGUUCUAGGGUCACCAACUGAUCUUUUUUGAAAUUUAUUUCUAGGCUAUUGACUAGAUUGGGGGUUGGCAAGUUCUUUCUGUAAAGGGCCAGACAGUAACUAAUUUAGACUUUGGGGGCCAUAUGGUUUCUGUAACAGCUAAUCAACUCUGCAGAUGAAGUGUGAAAGCAACCGUAGACAAUAUGUAACCGGUGAGCGUGGCUGUGCUCCGAAUAAAACCUAAUUUAUGAAAAGAUGCUCGGGGCGGGAUUUGGCCCACCGGCUAUAGUUUAUACUGACUCCUCGAUGAAGUGAACCACACAAGCAUUUUGAACCUUUGAAUCUUGAUGUGGAAAAGAGUGUUGGAGAUGACAAGGUCUUUACUGGGGCCUUUGUUCUGUGUUGAGUUCUGCGGUAAUUUUUGGGAAUGACCCAGGACAGAGAGGAAAGCUGUGAAAGGGAAUAUACGUGAGGGUAUUGCCCUUAUGGGCAAGUGGAGCUCAAUCCUUGUGAUGGGUGAGGAAGCCGGGAAGUUUAUUUGCAAACUUUUGUUUCUUAUUGUUUAUUUCCUGUUUGUUCUCAUUUGUCUGGCCCACCCUGCUCAGAGCAAGCCUGAUUCCCAGGCCAGAGAGUACCCUCAGGCUGAGAGAGAGGCAAGAAGCCAGCAGCCUGCAUAAGAACUGUACAAGUGACCUCUGCGCAGGUGACCUGUGUGCGGGUGACCACAGGGGAGGGCCAAGGAAUAUGGAUGGGACACCAGCAUUUCCUGCUACCGGCACCACCUGAAUCUCUUUCUGUUCACUCACUCCUGGGAGGGCAGAAUUCUGAACAGACUCACUUACGUCUUCAAAGAAGGUACUGUAUUUCUGGCGGCGGCUGAAUCUCUGUACUACCAAAGCUCUCCUGAAGGGCCCUCUUCUGUGGUUCCAGCUCCCACUGAACUGCUGACCCUAAGAGAAAUGCCCCCAAGGGGACCCAGAGAGCCUGCUGGGCAGUGACAUGACUGUUCUCUCUUGCCUCAGAGAAGAAAGCUGUGCCGGUUAUCCGGUAGUUCUCCGAGGAGGAGGUGAGAGAUGCAAACAGUUGCUCCAUGAUGUCUAGUAUGACUCCAUGUUGCCACAGCACCAUGCUCCUAGAAAAUGCAAGGCUCCAAUUGUAGCAGAGACUUUUUUCUUUCUAAACAAUGGAGGAGAUUUUAGUCUAUUUCUCUCUCAAGGAAAUAAAUGAUCUCAAAAGAAAUGUUCCAUGAAAGAGCACUAAGGAUUUGGGCUCUUCCCACCAUCCCUUCCCAUCUGCCUUUGCUCUUUCUUCCCUCUUUUUUCUCCUGGACUACAGAUCCUUGGUGAGUCCGUUGGUUCCAGUAAAGUUGCCUACAUGGCAGUUUUUACUCUGUUUUUAAUUUUUCUCCUUUGUAUCCACUUCUCGAAUGUCCACACAUUACCUGGCCAGUGCACAUACUCCUACAUGGUGGGUACUGGGGCUGCUGAGAAGGGUCCAUAAGUUGUCCCCCUCAUCAGAUUCCUUGGCAAGGCCCUCUUUCAUGGCUUGGGCUUGCACACACUUCAGAGUUGUGAUUGAGAGCCUGAAGGAGACAGUGGGCACCACAAAAGUAAGUCAACCCCAUACAGGGAGUUGUGAAUCCCAAGUUCACUCUUUCUGUUCCCCACGAGGCUGCUUCACCCUGGAUUAAUGGAUGUUGUGUGAGGGAAAAAACCAGACAGCCUGAUCUCACACUUCAGUUUUGGGGCCAAAGGGGACACUGAGGUGAUUUGGACCAGUAAAUAAUGCCACAAAAUUUUGUUAACCUCUCAUGAGAAAAUAAAGCCCUAAAGAUGGAAAGUGCCAAAUACUAUAUUUCACUGAUUCUGAAACAGCCCUUCAGAAGCAGGAUGCGGCUUGCAAUGGAUAGCGUGUUAUGACAGUUGGCCAGACACUGGUUGUGGUGUAGUUGUUAUUACCAGUGCGUGCACACGAACAUGUAUGGAUUUAGGCACGGUUGUUUAUACUGUUGUCAUUUUGGUAACAUUGUGUUAUUGGAACUACAUGUGUUGGGUCUAACCGUUGUUUAAAAUGUCUUUACAAAGUGGAUUUGAGGGGUGCCUGGGUAGCUCAGUCUGUUAAGCGUCUGACUUCAGCUCAGGUCAU